AUGUGGUUGUCGGCAUUGCUUGCUUGUAUAGUAGUAACCACGGUGAUCACCAUUCAUGUGGUGCACAUCCUGCACAAACACAGCCGAAAGAGAGUUUCUCCUCCUCGGCCCCCCGGCCCUGCCGGCCACCCCAUUCUCGGUAACUUGCUCUAUGUCAUCGGCCCGCUCCGCAACAACCCACACACCGCGCUCGCCUCCCUCGCUCAAACCUAUGGACCUAUCUUGUCCCUCCGUCUUGGUCUGACCCGCACCAUCGUCGUGGUGUCAUCCGCCGCGGCCGCUCACGAGUCCCUUGCCAAGAAUGAUGCAGCCCUUGCGUCCCGGCUUGUGCCGGACACCGUCCGCGUCAUGUCGUACGGCGCUACGUCCAUGGUCUUCCUUCCCAGCUCCAACCCGCUGUGGAAGCAGGACCGUGUCAUCAUGGGUGCCCUCUUCUCCUCCAACCGGGGCUUGGACACAAUCCGGCCCAUCUUGAAAUGCCAGGCCGGGCGUCUCACCGAGUACUUGAGGGCAUGCUCUGGCAGUGGCAGGCCGGUCAUAAUCAGGGAGGCCAUGAACCGCACGGUGCUCAAUGUCAUAUCAAACAUUCUCUUCUCCGAGGAUGUGGUGUACUUGAGCGCGCCAGGGGCCCAACCAUUCAGGGGACUCAUAGUGCCGGUACUAGAGGAGUGGUCAAAAUCCAACGUCUCUGACGCCUUCCCAUUCCUCGCACCAAUUGACCACCUCCUCGGCUCGCGCCGCCGUAUCUCCAUACAUCUUGCCAAACUGUUCAACUUCUUUGACCAAGAGAUCGUUCAA
rnacentral:rRNA from 1 species